UACGGAGGGUGCAAACGUUGCUCGGAAUUAUUGGGCGUAAAGCGCACGUAGGCGGCCAAUUAAGUCGGGUGUGAAAGCCCAGGGCUCAACCCUGGAAGUGCACUCGAAACUGAUUGGCUUGAAUAUGGAAGAGGGUUGCGGAAUUCCCGGUGUAGAGGUGAAAUUCGUAGAUAUCGGGAGGAACACCAGUGGCGAAGGCGGCAACCUGGGCCAAUAUUGACGCUGAGGUGCGAAAGCGUGGGGAGCAAACAGG
rnacentral:rRNA from 1 species